UAAGUGGAGGAAAAGAAACUAACAAGGAUUCCCCUAGUAACGGCGAGUGAAGCGGGAAGAGCUCAAAUUUAAAAUCUGGCAGGCUACGCUUGUCCGAAUUGUAAUCUCGAGAAGUGUUUUCCGCGUUGGCCUGUGUACAAGUCCCUUGGAACAGGGCGUCAUAGAGGGUGAGAAUCCCGUCCUUGACACAGACACCCAAUGCUUUGUGAUACACUCUCAAUGAGUCGAGUUGUUUGGGAAUGCAGCUCAAAAUGGGUGGUAAAUUCCAUCUAAAGCUAAAUACUGGCGAGAGACCGAUAGCGAACAAGUACCGUGAGGGAAAGAUGAAAAGCACUUUGGAAAGAGAGUCAAACAGUACGUGAAAUUGUUGAAAGGGAAACGAUUGAAGUCAGUCGUGCCUGCCUAGAUUCAGCCUUCUGGUGUAUUUCUAGGUCGGCAGGUCAGCAUCAGUUUGGGGGGGUUAACAAGGGAGCUGGGAAUGUGGCAACCUCGGUUGUGUUAUAGCCCAGUUUCGCAUUGAUCUCGCUGGACUGAGGAACGCAGUGCGCCCGCAAGGGUUGGUCUUCGGACACAUUCGCACUUAGGAUGCUGGCAUAAUGGCUUUAAACGAC
rnacentral:rRNA from 1 species